GGUUAAAGGAGGUAACACCGCAGAGGUUUUUCUCCCGACAUUUUACGUUGAUAUAUAUUGGUGGGGCUCUGCCAAUUUAACUUGGUUUGCUUUGAUUUUACAUGGCUAUGACAUCUGACUAGGCGUGAACAUUUCUGGCAUGCUCUAAACUGAAGGGCACCGACACACAUGCACACAUGUUGUGCACACACUCAUAAAAAGAGAAAGAAAGAGAUCUCCUUGGCCUUCUAAAGUUGAUUUUUGAAUUUCAAAAUUAUUUUGUGUUGGAAUGGCGUUCCAUAUGUUUUAUUUUAUGAUAAAGGAGUAGAUUUUCUAAGACAUUUUAUGGACCAGCACAGCAAGGGAAAACAAAUACCAGGAUUGUUUGAUAUAUAUAUAUAUAAAAAACAAACUGUGGGGAUAGAAUUUAGAGCUUUAACUCAAAUUUGGUAUAUACCAGCCUGUUAUGGUGUGGAAUUUUCAACCGUGUAUAUAAUGUCCCAUAGUAGUCUGUGUUCUGAUUUACCUUAUUUUUUUCAACAAAUUAUGAAAUUGCCUACAAUAUUCACUUAAUCUGUGCUGAAACUCAAAUUUCUUUCUCUAUCGUUGAUUGUGGACUCAUUACUCCCCCAGGCCCAAACAUUGUCAACCUCCUGCAACCUUUCAGCAUGGGAGU
rnacentral:misc_RNA from 1 species